rnacentral:rRNA from 1 species
GAAACCGAGUCUUAACCGGGCGUUAAGUUGCAGGGUAUAGACCCGAAACCCGGUGAUCUAGCCAUGGGCAGGUUGAAGGUUGGGUAACACUAACUGGAGGACCGAACCGACUAAUGUUGAAAAAUUAGCGGAUGACCUGUGGCUGGGGGUGAAAGGCCAAUCAAACCGGGAGAUAGCUGGUUCUCCCCGAAAGCUAUUUAGGUAGCGCCUCGUGAAUUCAUCUCCGGGGGUAGAGCACUGUUUCGGCUAGGGGGCCAUCCCGGCUUACCAACCCGAUGCAAACUGCGAAUACCGGAGAAUGUUAUCACGGGAGACACACGGCGGGUGCUAACGUCCGUCGUGAAGAGGGAAACAACCCAGACCGCCAGCUAAGGUCCCAAAGUCAUGGUUAAGUGGGAAACGAUGUGGGAAGGCCCAGACAGCCAGGAUGUUGGCUUAGAAGCAGCCAUCAUUUAAAGAAAGCGUAAUAGCUCACUGGUCGAGUCGGCCUGCGCGGAAGAUGUAACGGGGCUAAACCAUGCACCGAAGCUGCGGCAGCGACGCUUAUGCGUUGUUGGGUAGGGGAGCG